ACGAGUAUCUACCUAAUUGUCUAAUACUUAAAUAUGUGAAAACUAAAUGCUAAAAGCCUUGAAUAAUAUAUACAAUUUUUUAAUAACAUUCCCGCUACGAUGGAGGCCUUUUAUUUGCCCGUCCAGUCAGCUAUGCCCCUUUUGACAGAUAAAAAAAAUUUUAAUUUUAAUAAAUACGAGUUACUAAGAAAGUAAAAAGUGUAUACGAGAUGUAAAGAGUAUAGAGUGUAGAUGGUAUAACGAGGUAAUGAUGGGAAAUCAGAGGAAAAUUUAUAGCCUGUCCGGCAAGCUUACCCUUACUCAUAGCUGGCAAUGGUCUGUGAGAUGCUAAAGGUAUCCCGAAAGUAUCGAUUUUAUUGGGGGGAAAGAAAGUUCAGAAAACUUGUGCAUGUGGGAAAGGACUAAGGGGCGAUAAUUGGUAUAGAUCAGGGCAGAGCAGAGGGUGAAGACGCCCUAACAGAAAAGUAGAAUCUAUGUCGCCAGCAACCAACUUAUGCCAACUCUCUGUUUUAUGAGUAACAUCGAGCUUAUCAAAGGAGACAAUAGACAAGAGCUCAAUCGCAGGAAUUGCGUUUAUCAAGGUACUAUAGAGAACCUUUCUCUGCAGUUCUUUCAAUAUGCAAACUAUUCUUGUAAGAGCCAGGCUGAAAAAGUCAUUAUCGAUUGUUUGUAAAUGCAAGGAAACGUCGAACAAACUCUUAACUCAUUCUGCGUAUGAUAUAAAAUAACAUAUAUUUAAUAAAUGUUUCAAUUUUGUAGCUAUGGUUAUCCCCUAAAA